rnacentral:rRNA from 1 species
AUUGAACGCUGGCGGCAUGCCUUACACAUGCAAGUCGAACGGUAACAGGUCUUCGGAUGCUGACGAGUGGCGAACGGGUGAGUAAUACAUCGGAACGUGCCCGAGAGUGGGGGAUAACGCAGCGAAAGCUGUGCUAAUACCGCAUACGAUCUACGGAUGAAAGCAGGGGAUUCGCAAGGACCUUGCGCUCAUGGAGCGGCCGAUGGCAGAUUAGGUAGUUGGUGGGAUAAAAGCUUACCAAGCCGACGAUCUGUAGCUGGUCUGAGAGGACGACCAGCCACACUGGGACUGAGACACGGCCCAGACUCCUACGGGAGGCAGCAGUGGGGAAUUUGGACAAUGGGGGAAACCCUGAUCCAGCCAUGCCGCGUGCAGGAUGAAGGCCUUCGGGUUGUAAACUGCUUUUGUACGGAACGAAAAGGUCUUUUCUAAUAAAGAAGGCCCAUGACGGUACCGUAAGAAUAAGCAACGGCUAACUCCGUG